GUCAAUUGAUCGUUAGAAGGGAUUAAAAUUGAUUGUGUUAUGUUCUGUAAUUGUUGUUAAUAAAUCUUUCAGAAGAAAGUGUGUAAAAGUUUGACUACAGUAACCAUAUCUAACCAAGCUUCAUGUACCAAGAUAAUUAUUUCAAUUAUUUCUCAUCAGAUCAACUGUUCAUUUAUGCAGUUUAUGCUUUAUUUAUAGGUAGCAUAACUGUUACCUUUUUGUUUACAGUUCUGCAUAUAUAAUAUGACAAACCUAGGAGACUUUGCUGUAAGAGAAUUAAUCAUGUUUUUGUUUUCUUUUCUCAGGUCCGGUCAGGACCCACCACCCUUCCCUGUUCACCCACAGUUUAUACUUAUUCUUAGAAAACCAACGGCUCUUUUAAGAGCCACUUCAAUAGACCCUUUUACAGCCCACGUGAUCAAAUAGCCUGCGUGCGCAUUUUGGCAACGGAAGUGAUGUUAUUUCCCAGUGGUUCUAACGUGUAAGCAACUCAGAAAGUUUAUUAAAACGAUUUCCCCACAUCAAAACGUCUGGUUGUAGCAUUUGGUUGCACUAAUAUAAUAUAUGUUUAGUAUUUGGCCAUCUUCUAACGUCUUCUAUCCACUCCACUAUAGUACACGGAUUUGGUAACUGUGUAGAAGAUAAGUCAACUUUUUAAACUAACUUUCUCUGUCUGUGUUGCUUCACUGCUGAUUCUUGCCGUGCUUCCGUUGCCAAACUGCGUGCGCAUACGUUGCCACGUCAUCAUUGUGUACAAACAGUAAAAGGGUCACUCACUCACUCACUCUUUCGCAAGCUUCUCUGUUUUCAAUAUUGUUGAAAUGGCUGCUGAGCAAGACAGAGGGAGAGCAAAGGGUGUUAUUUUCAUAGCAGACAUGCUUCUUGCUCAAAUCAAGGCAGAGGAACCCAAGGGCAAAGCAACAGCCAUUAAAGGGAGUACAUUUAAUGUCAGAUAGGUGGAGAAAAUGCUGAAGGAGGUCCACUACUAAAAAGAAGCAGAAGUGAAGAGAUACAAAGCUUCAGCUACAUUCUGUUUAUUGCCUACAGUGAGACCUCCACAUUUCUGCACUUGUGAUCAUGCAAACAUCCAGUGUAGAGCACUUCACCUGCCCGGCAUGUACACCCAACAAUGCUCGCUCUUUGUGCAGAUGGCAACAGAAAAACCUACAGAUUCCGUCAGUCAAAAGAAAGGAGCUUCAAGCAGCCACAAACGGAGAGUUCUUUUGAACAGAUAUUGCUUGCAAGUAUUGGCCAUACCUUGAGAAGGCCUCAGUCUCCAUGUUGGAACUCAGACCUUUACUGCAGAUGAGACCUUUCCUUUCUGUCAUGCAUGCCAAGGCUCAUUCAACCAAGUGUCAGGUGUCACACAUUUGUUAGAUAAUCUGGCAAAAAUCAGGAAGGUGCUGGUACAACUGCAGUUGAGGAGGUCGAAAUGGUCAACAGCUACCUGUCUCGUUGUGGCCUCACAACCAAUACUUUGGGAUUGCAUAAGAGUAAGCUGUAACUGUUCAAAGUACAUAAAAAAUUGGCAUGUAGUUCUCUCUUAAAUUUUAAACUCAAUUGUCAGUUUCUGGAUUAAUUGAAAUACCACAAGCAUUAAUGGGACCUUUCUUCCUUCAUCACAUACAUGUCUUGUUAAUAGCCAGGAAUGACAUGGUAACUGUCCAUGCUAUUGGGUGGAACCAACGGAAGCAAGAAGGCCUUCAGCAUUAUCCAGCAGAUACAUCAAGAAAGGCUGAGUCUCAGAGACGGGAAGAUUUGAGCAGUGAACUGGGGUGUCCUGAGAACAUUGUGAAUCAGUGGGUACAAGAUGUCAGACAAAAGGCUACUGAUGGAUUUGGUAGGUACCAGAUGUGAUGACCUACACAACCUUCAGAAAUGAAUUGAACAAAUGUUUCUUAGUCUUCAUCGAAAAGCCAGCCUUUAUAAUCACACUGAAUCCAGCAACACCCUCACCAAGAAGAUUUCAAAAGUGCGCCUUCAAGAAGCAAAGAUCAUUGUGAUGAGGGAGAUGAGACACCACUGCACCGCACCUAUCUCAGAAGCCUGGCUAGGAACAUCAGGAAAAUGAUAUCAGAAAUGUCUUCAGGCAAAAACAGUGGCAGUUUAAGUGAAGAGUGUCAUCGCUGGCUACUGUGUCGUCUUCAGAAAAGGCUUGCAGAUGUAGAGAAGUUCCAAGUUUGCUCAAGUUACAGCCAGGCUUUAGGACAGUGUUCUUCACUCCCAACCCCGGAGAGCCGGUGUCCUGCAGACUUUAGCUCCAACCUUAAUCAAACACAUCUGAAAGCUAAUCAAUGUCUUCAUGAUCUCUAGAAAAUCACAGGUACGUGUGUUUGAUUAAGGUUGGAGCUAAGCUCCGCAGGACACCGGCUCUCCAGGAUUGGGAGUGAAGAACACUGCUUUAGGACCAAAUGCUGUUUCUCUGCUGGAGGAUGAGCCUGAGGAGAUACUGGAGGACCACAAAGAGCUGGAUUAUGAGAGUUCAGAUGACAUUUUGGAUUUGGAACUCUGAACUGGUGUAUGCAUUUAGACUGUGUGUCACACUGAACUGCAGGUGUGUUUCAUGGAAAACAUAAAACUAUUUGGAAAUGUAAUGGAUGUCUGAUACAGUGCUUUUAUUUUAGACAACCGUUUCCUGCAGUCUGUAAGCAACAUUAGCCUCAUAGAUUGAUGGGAAACUACUGUUAAAUAAGUUUUUGUAUGAUAAUCCAUAUCUCCGUUUACAAGCAGCAGGUUAGCUAUUAGGUUUCCCCUCCACCUCCGAUGUUUCACAGACUACUCCUACAGUCAACUGUGUUGCUACAACUUGCAAAUGCCACAAUCCUCUUGCAGUGGUUACUUCACCAAACUGUGCCCAUAUCAUCUUGUCAACAUAAUGACAUUUACUGUAGAAAAAUGUGCAAAUCUAUUUUGCCUGUGUUACAUAUGUUACUAUUAUUGUUAUAUAGUUUUAUACUGUAUCAAGUUUUUUUCACAGUGAUUGUGGAUACUUUUGGAGUGAACUAACUGUAUGUCAUUAGAUGAAAUACUUUACAUAAAUGACUGAUCAAUAACCUACCCAUAUUUGAUGCAUGAGUUAAUACUGUUGUUACCUUUUCAAUGAAAGGAAAUGUUUUACAAUGCCAUUUUCUUGAGGUAAUUAUUAAACUGUUUCAUAUAUGUACCUGCAAAA